AGCUCCAAUUAUUGGCUGCAAUGGAGAGCUUCUCUGAUUCCAUCGACUAAACUAGGUGCUGAUUUGAUAGUUAAAAAAGGGGUCAUUUUCACCAGCGACCCUUCUUUUCCUUUUGCCGAUUCCAUGGCCAUUCGUGACGGUAGAAUCCUUCGUGUUGGAAACUAUUCCUCACUUCAGGAUUUGUCAGGAUAUGGCACUAAAGAGCUGAAUCUUAAAGGAAAGAACGUGGUGCCCGGAUUUAUUGAUUCUCACGUGCACUUGAUCUCUGCAGGACUUCAGAUUUUGAAAUUUCACCUACUGAUAUUCUUUUCUUUGUGCCAUUUCUUUUUCAAAUGGCUUCACCUUCACUGAGCUGAUAUUGUGCACAGUAGAGACUAGAGAUCAUUCUUGACUGUUUUUAAAUCCCGGUUGUAAAUGAAGCACGGACACUUGGUA